GUGAGCCUAGAGAGACAAGAGGCCAGGAACCGCCAAUCCUUUGCGUAACAAAGGGUGCAAAGGCUACUGGCCAGGUAGUGAAUGGCAGGUGAAUGGGCACUGAGAGACACAGCAGGAGGUAAAGACUCAAGAAGAUCAAGACUUUCCCACAGAAAAAAAAUGGGACAUAUUGCACUUGGGAAAAUAUUCUUGCUACACCUGUUUUUGAUGACAAUGUACAAGAGAGAUGGAAAGUCAUUCUAGUGCCCGGGAUCCUGAGCUCACCUCUCCCUGCCCUGCUGGGAGCUGAGUUGUGGCUGCCCCACCCCCCACCGCUUCUUCAGCACUGCUGUGGGUUUCUCUACACUGUAGCCCUGCACCCGCUGCCCAGCUGGGACAUCCUGGAGUUCCAGCUACCACCACAGAGCUUCUGAUACAUCUUGUCUACCACCCUGCGAUUUUUGCUCAUUCCUGCUGCUCCACUUUGGUGCUCCUAUGAGUUCUGCUGUGCCACUGAGAUGGACUGCGGCAGGGUUUUGUAAAGCAAAUCCUCUCUUCCAUCCCUUCCCGUCUCAGGCAAGCCGCCAUUACCCUGUGCUACUCACACUCGCCCUCUGCAGCUCCAAGGCAAUCAUCGCACCUGCCCUGCCCUGCCCACCGGGAGCCACCAGCGCCCCUGCCGGCUGUGACCAUCACUACACCAAGAAGGCUGGGCUCGUGGUUCUGUUUGUUGUUAAUGCCGCAAUUGUUAUCGGUUAUUUGCUUUGUUAUACAUACUAGUAAAGAACUGCCAUUCAUAUUCUCAUAUCUUUGCCUGAGGGUCCCUUAAUUUCAAAAUCCUAAAAAUUUUGAGGGAGGGGCUUUACAUUUUCCAUUCCAAGGGAGGCUCCUGCCUUCCCUAGAAGACACCUGUCUUUCAAAGUAAGACAUGUUGCUAAAGGUACAAUGAGUAAGACCUGACAUUUCUGUGGAUAUUAACUAUUUAUUUAAAAGCAUUAACAGGAAGUGACUCUUGGAUUUAUAAAUAUGCAUAUAAGUUCCAGAAUCCAGAAGGAACCCCCUCACAAUGUCAUAAUUAAGUUAAUAAAGACAGAAAAAAUAAAUUUGAGUAAUGUCUGGUUCUGGAUAGUAUGACAGCCUCCACUCUACUGAGACAAGGCAAAUCUACUACAGCAGUAGCUUUGAAACCACACUUGUUUUGAUGUUCUGUUCCAAUAAACUUAUUUACAAUACAUAUAUAAAGAAUGUGUAGGAAAGGCAUCUUAUAGCUACAAGAGAUCCCAUCUUUACGCAUACUUCCACAAACAAACCUUGUCUUGUACAUUAAGUUAGACCAAACCCACUGGGUAGGCAGUGUAAGAAGUCCACUCACUCCUAUGAAGGUGGGCUCAUUCCUUAAUAUAUUAGUUAAUUCUUGUAUUUCCAGGAUCAUUUUAUUCAAGUAUCACAGUAUGAAAAAAAAAAAAAAAACAAUCUGCCUGGCAAUUGAAACUUCACAUCAGGAUAGCAUUAAUUUUAAUACAUCAAAUUACAAGAAACUGUUGAAAAACUCAGACUGGAAAGUCCCAGGCCAAACCAUACACUUCAAGACUGAAACUGAUUUUAAUUCCAAGAACAGACAGCUGAAAAAGACCAUUUUCAUAGAUUAAUAAUUUUACCUUGGUAUUACAUAUCUGGAAGAAAUAUACAUUUCAUUGGUUAUGCAUUGAUCAAACUUUUAUUGUGCCAGCUGUACUUCAUAGACCUGAGAAAGUGAUUCAAGCAAAACAAAAGAGAAUAUAAAAGCAUAAGUCUAAUAGUUUUAAAUCCCAAAGAGGCAAUUACAAGUUUGAUUUGAUUCAUGUGUCUGGACUACAUUGGAAACCUAACCACUUUACCCAUAUUAAGUACAUGUGAAGGCUUACACUAGGACUGUGAAUAAUAAAUCCAUCCUGCACUUUUAUUUGUGAAGUGCCACUCUUUUAAUAAGCUGGGAAAUACAGCAAUAAAAUUUUCACACUAAUUAAUAUGUAAAAGGUAGUUUAACAGAGCUGAAAUGUGUUAAAACAUCUCUUUUUAAAUUAUAAAAGUAAGCUGAGCAAUAACUAAUAAUUUAAAUAA